rnacentral:tRNA from 1 species
GGGGGUGUAACUCAGCGGAAGAGUGCAAUCCUCACACGGUUGAAGCCGUUGGUUCGAACCCAACCACCCCCA